rnacentral:misc_RNA from 1 species
GCGUAUGAGGAGACUGAAAAGGAAGCGCAGAAAGAUGAGACAGAGAUCUAAGUAGAGCAGCAGCAGGGGUCCAGAUGCCUACUGUGGUUUCUUGGUUGAAACUGCUGCUUUUUAUAAUCGCUGUCCAUCUCUGUGGCAGCUCCAAAGAAUGGAGGUUGUCCGUUGUUUGAAGCUGUGCAUUAGUUAAUUUACUAUGUUCUAUGGAGGAGCUUAGUUUUAGUUUUAAGCAUUGGUAGUAAGAAUGUUGGUUUGUGUUGGAUAUAUGUGAGUUAUAUUGAAUGUUCUCUUUCAAGCUGACGUUUUUAAGAGGAUUUCUAUUUGUUUGGGGUUACAUUUCAUUUGAAUAAAUUUUGGCUUUGAACGUUAUUACUUCAUGUGAUGUUCUGAUGAUGUACAAGUGUGAAGUGAAACCCUGGUUGGUUUUGAU